ACUGCAGUGAAGGCACUUGUGG
rnacentral:miRNA from 1 species